rnacentral:lncRNA from 1 species
UUGUCUACUUCCCCAUCCUCAACGUGAUUCAUUUCUACGUUAGAAGACCUUUGAGCUGUUACAACAAGUUAAAGACUUCUGAUACGAUAUAAUAAAGAGCUAUACUAUGAUAAUAUGAUUAUUACACGGCUACAAUAUAUCAUGGAUGUAUGUACUAAAUCUUAGCUUGUGCAAAGAGGAGUUUAGCCGGUUAUAAAUGAUUCAAAUAUAUUAUUCUUGAAAAUGAUGGUUACUUACAUUUUAGGUUAGCCAUACACAUUAAAAAGUCAAAAAAUGGUCAGAAUAUUGAUUUGCUUAUCAGAGAUGUAAACUAAUGUAAAGAUCAUAGUUAGUUGUUUUAUAUUAUUUUCAGUGACAUGGAGUGAAUUAGUCUUGUAAAACAGGUUCAAUAAAAUUGUUGGUUAGCUAUCUAAAAUAAUUUAUGGUUCGAAAUCAUAAAGCUUAACCCUAAACCAAAAAUCGUAAACCCUAAACAAAAUAUACUAAGACCUAGACCCUAAAGUCUAAACCACAAAUCCUAAAUAAAUACCAUAAGCCUUAACCAAACAACAACACCUUAGACCAUACACCAUUGAUCAAAAACCCUUGACACUGUAAUACUAUACACUAAACCGUAUAGACAAUUUCAUUAAGUCUAAGGUCUGGUUGAUAGAGAAGAAAUAUAAGUAAAUUAUCAGAUGUCCAAUUUUUUAUGUGAACAGUUACCACAUUUUUUGGAUGGCUAACACAAUUAAUGAACAUGUCAAUAAUAAGGUCAGCUAUAGAUUAUCAUACCCCU